UCUGGAGGACAAGAUGACCUGAACACACUUGAUCUCAUCUGAUUUUGCAAGCUAAGCAGGCUCAUGCUUGGUUAGGACUUAGGUGGGAGACUACCAGGAAACAGGACAGAUCUCCAGGU
rnacentral:rRNA from 1 species